rnacentral:ribozyme from 1 species
UCUCUCCCUCUUUUCUUUCUCUUUCUCUUUCUCUUUCUCUUUCUCUCGGUUUAUCAGCUCCUUUUGCUCUAAAAACAGAAAUGACAAGGUCAAUGACU